AUUGAACGCUGGCGGCAGGCCUAACACAUGCAAGUCGAGCGGAUGAAGGGAGCUUGCUCCUGGAUUCAGCGGCGGACGGGUGAGUAAUGCCUAGGAAUCUGCCUGGUAGUGGGGGAUAACGUCCGGAAACGGGCGCUAAUACCGCAUACGUCCUGAGGGAGAAAGUGGGGGAUCUUCGGACCUCACGCUACCAGGUGAGCCUAGGUCGGAUUAGCUAGUUGGUGGGGUAAAGGCCUACCAAGGCGACGAUCCGUAACUGGUCUGAGAGGAUGAUCAGUCACACUGGAACUGAGACACGGUCCAGACUCCUACGGGAGGCAGCAGUGGGGAAUAUUGGACAAUGGGCGAAAGCCUGAUCCAGCCAUGCCGCGUGUGUGAAGAAGGUCUUCGGAUUGUAAAGCACUUUAAGUUGGGAGGAAGGGCAGUAAGUUAAUACCUUGCUGUUUUGACGUUACCAACAGAAUAAGCACCGGCUAACUUCGUG
rnacentral:rRNA from 1 species